rnacentral:rRNA from 1 species
GUAGGUGGUAAGCGUUGUCCGGAAUUAUUGGGCGUAAAGCGCGCGCAGGCGGUUCUUUAAGUCUGAUGUGAAAGCCCACGGCUCAACCGUGGAGGGUCAUUGGAAACUGGAGAACUUGAGUACAGAAGAGGAAAGCGGAAUUCCACGUGUAGCGGUGAAAUGCGUAGAGAUGUGGAGGAACACCAGUGGCGAAGGCGGCUUUCUGGUCUGUAACUGACGCUGAGGCGCGAAAGCGUGGGGAGCAAACAGGAUUAGAUACCCUGGUAGUCCACGCCGUAAACGAUGAGUGCUAAGUGUUAGGGGGUUUCCGCCCCCCUUAGUGCUGCAGCUAACGCAUUAAGCACUCCGCCUGGGAGUACGGCCGCAAGGCUG